rnacentral:rRNA from 1 species
GAUGAACGCUAGCGGCAGGCCUAACACAUGCAAGUCGAGGGGUAACAUAGAAAAGCUUGCUUUUCUGAUGACGACCGGCGCACGGGUGCGUAACGCGUAUACAACCUACCUUUUAGCGGGGAAUAGCCCAGGGAAACUUGGAUUAAUGCCUCAUAGUAUAUAAGCUUCUCCUGAAGUUUAUAUUAAACAUUUAUGGCUAUUAGAUGGGUAUGCGUCCUAUUAGUUAGUUGGUAAGGUAACGGCUUACCAAGGCAGCGAUAGGUAGGGGUCCUGAGAGGGAGAUCCCCACACUGGUACUGAGACACGGACCAGACUCCUACGGGGGGCAGCAGUGAGGAAUAUUGGACAAUGGGCGAGAGCCUGAUCCAGCCAUGCCGCGUGCAGGAAGACUGCCCUAUGGGUUGUAAACUGCUUUUACAGAGGAAGAACCACCCCCACGUGUGGGGGUUUGACGGUACUCUGCGAAUAAGGAUCGGCUAACUCCGUG